rnacentral:lncRNA from 1 species
UCGACGCUAAAGUAUCUGAGGAUCUUAAAAGUACCCGUGUUUUGGACGCUGCCAGAAAGUAAAGUUAGGACCGAAGGGUUGGGUCUUCCUCCUUUGGGUCUUUUAAAUUUAGCGUCCAAAUCAUGCACAUCCAACGGGUUGUAUAAAUUCCACUGAUGUAGAGUAAGAGGUAGAAUAGGAUUUAUUCGGUGAAACAUUCUGUAUAGUAACAUCUGAUGACAUAUUGAUAAUUUAUUUACGGUACUACCGAAACUAAUUACUUUCGUUUCCC